UUUUUGUGCAGUUGUGGAAUUCCGUGUUCAAUGUUUAAUCGUCCAUCUUAUUGAAAUUCUUUUUAUGAUUAGUAUAUUUUUAUUAUUAUUGGAUGAUAAAACAUGAAUAGUAAUGCAUGCCUUUUUUUUUUCUUUUUUUUGAAUUUUUUUAUAAUUCUUUUAAAUAAGACGGACAGUCAAACAUUGGAUAUAGAAACUCACUAUUAGUACACUUAAA
rfam:Oryza glumipatula chromosome 4, whole genome shotgun sequence.